AACGAACGCUGGCGGCAGGCUUAACACAUGCAAGUCGAACGGUCUCUUCGGAGGCAGUGGCAGACGGGUGAGUAACGCGUGGGAAUCUACCCAGUUCUACGGAACAACUGAGGGAAACUUCAGCUAAUACCGUAUACGCCCCAAGGCGGAAAGAUUUAUCGGAAUUGGAUGAGCCCGCGUAAGAUUAGCUAGUUGGUGGGGUAAUGGCCUACCAAGGCGACGAUCUUUAGCUGGUCUGGGAGGAUGAUCAGCCACACUGGGACUGAGACACGGCCCAGACUCCUACGGGAGGCAGCAGUGGGGAAUAUUGGACAAUGGGCGCAAGCCUGAUCCAGCCAUGCCGCGUGAGUGAUGAAGGCCCUAGGGUUGUAAAGCUCUUUCAGUGGGGACGAUAAUGACGGUACCCACAGAAGAAGCCCCGGCUAACUUCGUGCCAGCAGCCGCAGUAAGAC
rnacentral:rRNA from 1 species